rnacentral:rRNA from 1 species
UACUAGAGUAGCACUCGCAUAUCAAUAAGCGGAGGAAAAGAAACCAACAAGGAUUCCCCUAGUAACGGCGAGUGAAGCGGGAAGAGCUCAAAUUUGAAAUCUUAAAGGGUUUCCCUUUACGAAUUGUAGUUUAAGGAAGUGUUUUCUGUUGAGGUUUUGGUAAAAGUUCUUUGGAAUAGGACAUCAUAGAGGGUGAGAAUCCCGUAUUUGACCUUUACUUUCAACUUUGUGAUACACUUUCAAAGAGUCGGAUUGUUUGGGAAUGCAGUCCAAAAUGGGUGGUAAAUUUCAUCUAAAGCUAAAUAUUGGCGAGAGACCGAUAGCGAACAAGUACCGUGAGGGAAAGAUGAAAAGAACUAUGAAAAGAGAGUUAAACAGUACGUGAAAUUGUCAAAAGGGAAGCGUUUGACACCAGUGUUGUUUUUCUGAAAAUCAAUUAAAGAACUGUUUAUGCUAAGUUGUUUAGACUUUAUCAGCUAAUCUGUUUAGUUUUAGGCUUUUCUUUAAUGCACUUUUCAGUUAACAAGUCAACAUCAAUUUCUUUUGCUGUAAAAAAGCUUGAGGAAGGUGGCUUGAGAUUCGUCUUAAGUGUUUAUAGCCUCUUGCCUAUGCAGUCGGAGAGAUUGAGGUCUGCAGCGUAGAUCCUUCGGGGCUAAAUGUAUUUGUGCUAAGUUAUAGCAUUUUAUAGACAACUUGUUGACUAUGAUUUGUCUUGUAGCUUACUCGCUUAUGUUAUUUUACCUACGCUUAGGAUGUUGAGCGCAUGUCUCUCUCU